AUACAAAUUAACUUAAAUCCAGCUACGAUCAAACCAUGGCAAAUUAUUGACUCUUACAUGACAUAACAAUAUCAUUGAGAAGUUUUUUCCGUAUUCUCAAAACUGCUAUAAAUGACUUAAGCAAUUCAGUUAUUAGCGUGACGAUAUGUACAAAUAUUAUGUUGAAUGACAGGGAUUUGGGAAGACCUACUAAUCGAAAAUAUAUAUAUUCGUCUUUUCACCAUACUUAUGUACCCCAAAACACACGGUUACCAACAAUUAAGUAAGAGGUUCAUUGUUUUCGAAGAACCUCAACUUUCACGGGUAUCGGUGGCAACACGCAGAAAAGUUGAUGAUGAGUGCAGGGGUUCAUUUACGGUUCAAUACCGUAGAAAAUAUUCAGACGGAGCUCUUUGAGAUGCAAUGCAAUGGGGAAAUAAAAUUCAUAUUCUAUUCAAAAAAUGCAUCACUGCUUGAUUUUUAUAAAAACGUAUCUUCUUAAAGAAAAUCUCUAUCAAAAUUUGACAACACAUGCGGAAAAAUUCGAUGUUUGUAAGUACAUGUGUGCGAACAAUUAUUUUUGAAAAAAUGAACAUUACAAAAAACAGUGGGUGUCGAAAUGCUAUUAAGCGUGAUGUAGCAACAAGACAGUGUCGCAUUGAAUGUUAUUUAUAACUUCUUUUUUUUAAGAACACGACUGAGUUUAGUUCACGAAUUGUUGCAGUCUUCUUUUUGCGCGCUGUUCUGGUUUGAAUGUUAAAAUCCGGAAUUCAAAUUCGACUCUUGCUAUAGACUUUGCUUAAAAUUGUAUCGGUAAUAAGCUGUACAAAUACCAUAUUCGUUACCGCAAGAUAUGUCGCCCUUUCCUAUUCAUUGACCUACUAUUUUUCAUAUGCUACUGGCACAAUUGUUUUGUAUAAUUUCUAAUAGAAACUAUCUAACUUCUCCAUAAUUCUAAGAUAUGUUGCAAAAAUUACUUCUAUCGCUUCUGUUUUCGGUUGCAGUGAUGUCUGUGUUACCUGCUGGUUUAUAUGCGAACGAUGAGUGCUUCAUCGACGAUGAUUGUGAACGUGGCAAAAUUUGCGUUCAAACUUGCGAUGGAUCUGGAGGCUGCACUAACUAUUGUUUUUGGGGAGAGUGAUUGAUGCAUGGGCAAAGGACAUCACAAUGGGUGGCAGCGGUCAAUCAGCGUCAAACAUCGUGAAAGAAUCAAUACAGAGAAAGUGACUUUAUUUUCAAUUUAUUGUUGAUGAAAUAAUCU